rnacentral:rRNA from 1 species
GUCUCUUUGUUUUUUACAUAUAAGGAGUCGGGCCUGCUCAGUGAUAUUAUAUUUAACAGCUGCAGUAUAAUAGCUGUACUAAGGUAGCAUAAUAAUUUCCCUUAUAAAUUAAGGCUAGAAUGAAUGGUUUGACCGAAAGUUGAUCUGUCUCUUAUUUACUUAUUAGAAAUUAAUUUUUAUAGUGAAAAAGCUUUAAUUAAUUAAAGGGACGAGAAGACCCUAUUGAGCUUUUAUCAGAUAUAUAUAAAAUUAUUUUAAAAUUAUAUAUUAAAUGAUUUUGAUUGGGGUGAUCGAGGGAUAAAAUAAAUUAGUAACUUCCUUAAUAUAAAAUUAUUGAUAAAUUAAUUAACCAAUAUUUUGCUUACGUGAAUAAGUUACCCUAGGGAUAACAGGGUAAUUUUUUUAGAGAGUUCUUAUUGAUAAAAGAGAUUGCGCCUCGAUGUUGGAUUAAAAUAACCUUAAGGUGAAGAAGCUUUAAUAGGUGAAUCUGUUCGACYUUUUAAAAUUUUAC